GGCUGGUCUGCGUGCAGUGGUGUUUACAACUUAUUGAUCACAACCAGUUAAAGAUUCCUUUGUUCCUUCUCUACUCCCACUGCUUCACUUGACUAGUCUAAA
rnacentral:Y_RNA from 1 species